rnacentral:rRNA from 1 species
UCCUACGGGAGGUAGCAGUGGGGAAUUUUGGACAAUGGGGGCAAGCCUGAUCCAGCCAUGCCGCGUGAGUGAAGAAGGCCUUCGGGUUGUAAAGCGUAUCGGCCGGUAAGGGAAGGUUAAUCUAAACCGGAGAAAUGAACGGACCUGAUAAGAGGCCCCUUCCCCUA